AUUGCAGGAGACACUUCUCACAGAUGAUAUCUCAGGGCAAAAUGUCACUAGGGGACCGGGAGUAAAGAGAUGUUCAGGUCUAGCAGUCGUGUCCAACUCUUUAUGACCCCAUGGACUAUACAGUCCAUGGAAUUCUCCAAGCCAGAAUACUGGAGUGGGUGACCAUCCCCUUCUCCAGGAGAUCUUCCCAACCAAGGGAUCAAACCCAGGUCUCUCACAUUGCAAGCGGAUUCUUUACCAAGCUGAGCCACCAAGGAAGGCCAAAGAGAUGUUCACAGCAUGGCAAAGAAGUGUGAAUCUGGAGGAAGAGGCCUUAGUGAGGAUGAAGGAGAAUUCCACCUUUACUCAGGGAAGGAGGGGAGGUUGGGAUUGCCACCUGUGUCCAGUUAAAAGAAAUCCAAAAUUAUAUAGUACAUGGCAAGACCCGUAAAAAUGUCCACACUCUUAUCCCACUCCCAGAAAUUUCUCCCAAGGGAGUAAGUUAACAGAACUAACAAGAGACAUACAUGAAUAUAAUAUUUGCAUCAUUAUCUAAACCAUCACCGAAAAUGGAAGAAUUUGAGUUGCAAAAAUAUGAGAAGUAUUUGUUGAAUGCUGGUAGAGAAAUUCAGUGGACUACUACAAGAGCUUUUAAAAGGAUCCCUCAGAAUGUUAUGUGAUCUCAUGGCAAAAUGGCUGUAGCAAGCAUUGAAAAGGAAAGGGAAAAGACAAAUUAGUAUAUACACUAUGANNNNNNNNNNNNNNNNNNNNNNNNNNNNNNNNNNNNNNNNNNNNNNNNNNNNNNNNNNNNNNNNNNNNNNNNNNNNNNNNNNNNNNNNNNNNNNNNNNNNNNNNNNNNNNNNNNNNUGUUUUAGUUGCAAAGAUAUUAUUUUUAAAAUCUAAAAACAGCACAAGCUAGCCCACAGAUUAUUUAAGUGGAUUGAUCAUCUGAAGGAUUAUUGACCAGAGUCAAGAGGAAAAGGGACUCAGAUACUCCUGUCCAAACUGACUAGAUGGAGUUCAUCUCCCAAAAGCAUAGGGUAAGGCUGUUGACCUCACUGAGAUACAGUAGAUAUGGUGGUUGAAGCCUCAGGUCCCAAGUUACAGUUCUGGUUCCACCAUCCACUCUGUUAUGGUGUGAUCUUGAAGAAGUAAUUGAAGCUCUUGGAGCUCUGGUUCCUUAUCUGCAGUGACAGAAUAACAACUAUCACUAGAGUUAUUAUUAAGUCAACUGAGAUACUGCACAGCGUGCAGCAAUGUCUAAGUGUCAGCUACAGAUUAAAUGACUUAAAGCCAAAAAUGCGGUGAGUGAACAAAAUGAGGGUGGGGGAAGGUUAAGGGUCUGAGCAAUGGGCAGAACUUAGAGAGUCUCCUGCCUAAAGAUGAAGAUGACUAGCUAAUCUUCAUGUGUGGGGUAAAUAGGGGUAAUACAAGCUCUGCAAACCUUGGGAACCCUGACUUCUCAAAGACUUGGGGCCAGUUUCCUGCCUUUGUCCAAGUAGCUGCAUAACUUUAAGCAAAUCCCUUAACCUUUUUGUUCAUCAGUCCCCAUGUCUUUAUUAGUGUGUUCAUUCAUUUAAUAAAUCUUUAGCCGAAUACUUGGAAUGUGCAGCGUACCAUGCUAGUUGUUCUGGUGAUUAAAUUAGCCUCUAAGACAGUUGAUAACUUAGUGAUCAAGAGCACCAGAGCUGGAGUUAGACAGAACUCCAAACUCUAGGAUUUGAGCCCAAACUCUCUCAGUUACUAGAUGUGUGACUUUGAGAAAGAUACUCUGAGCUUUCAUGUGCUCAUCUGUAAAAUGGAGAAAAUAAAGACUUCUAUGUCAUAGUGUGAUUGUGACUAUGCAAGGGUUUCAUGAAUAUUAAGUCUUUUAGCAUAAUGCCUGUUGGGGACCCAGCACUGGUUCCCCAGCUAAUGUGAAAACAUUAGCAAUUGUGAAAACAGACAGCCCCCUACAAACUCCCCCAACUUGCCCUGUAGGACCUUACAGUAGAGACUCUUCUCUAAAAAGUGCUGAAACUGAGAUACAAGUAAUGUCUCUUUCUUCAAAUAUUUGAAGGCUGUCUGGUACAAAAGGGGCUUUGACAUUCUACAAAAUAUGAGAAUUCAGCCAAGACCAAUGAAUGAAGACUUGUCCUACAGGCAGACGAGGCCAGUGCUAAAGGGGGCUACCUAAAUAGAUGGUGAGUUCCCCAUGACUGCAGAUGCUCAGAGACACUACACAGCAUCCUUCUAAGAUGUUGUAGAUAAUAUCUGAGCACUGUCAUGCUGAAAUAUAUGACCUUUGAAAGUGAAAGUCACUCAGCCGUGUCCGACUCUUUGCAACCCCAUGGACUAUACAAUCCAUGGAAUUCUC
ensembl:lncRNA